rnacentral:tRNA from 1 species
GCCUCAUUAGUAUAAUGGUUAUUAUAACUGACUUGUAAUCAGUAGAUGUUAGUUCGAUUCUGACAUGAGGCACCA